rnacentral:lncRNA from 1 species
GCAAGGCAAGAGUCUUCUAGCAGGACAAAAGGGAGUUUCCUGCUCAAAGAUGCUUGGGACUACCGCAAUAUCUGUUCAACACUGGAAGAAACGUUGAUUGCUAAGCAGGCUGCUGGUACACGACAGCGUAAUCUCCAAAAAGAGGAUGGUGACAAGCAACUUCAGCUGAUAACCUUUUUUACUUGCACAAUUACCCCUAGAAGAUACUCGUUCACAGCUUUGCGCUCUGUGAGCGUACACUGGAA